GAUGAACGCUGGCGGCGUGCCUAAUACAUGCAAGUCGAGCGAACAGACGAGGAGCUUGCUCCUCUGACGGUAGCGGCGGACGGGUGAGUAACACGUGGAUAACCUACCUAUAAGACUGGGAUAACUUCGGGAAACCGGAGCUAAUACCGGAUAAUAUAUUGAACCGCAUGGUUCAAUAGUGAAAGACGGUUUUGCUGUCACUUAUAGAUGGAUCCGCGCCGCAUUAGCUAGUUGGUAAGGUAACGGCUUACCAAGGCGACGAUGCGUAGCCGACCUGAGAGGGUGAUCGGCCACACUGGAACUGAGACACGGUCCAGACUCCUACGGGAGGCAGCAGUAGGGAAUCUUCCGCAAUGGGCGAAAGCCUGACGGAGCAACGCCGCGUGAGUGAUGAAGGUCUUCGGAUCGUAAAGCUCUGUUAUUAGGGAAGAACAAAUGUGUAAGUAACUAUGCACGUCUUGACGGUACCUAAUCAGAAAGCCACGGCUAACUACGUG
rnacentral:rRNA from 1 species